AUUGUCAGUUCUAAAAGUAAAUCUCACUUUUAAAGAAGCAAGAAAAACAUCAAAAUACAUUUUAUUUAACUAUUUGACUAAUUUCAAUAUUAGUCAUGAUGAAUUUCACACUUACAUGUUUGGCAAACGUGUUUCUGAAUCUCCAGACGGUAUACUGACCUCAAGAAACUGAUCACAGUGGAAGCUCACUUUAGCUUGAACUAAACACAAUCAACUAUUCACAAAUGAUUAUAGAGUUAAAUAUUUAGUUUCAUUGAAAUCAUCCACAGCAGGGAUAAAAUAGGGUAAGAGAUACGUUCCUAAGAUGAAAUGAGACCUAGAUUAAAUUGAAAGAUUAGAAAUUUGCCAUGAGUUAUUAAUCUAGUUAAAUGAGUGAACACUGCACUGAGAAUUCUUGUGAAGUGAAUGAUCACUACCUAAAUUAUAUUGAAUUUCAUAUAGUGCAUUUUGUCUAAAAUGAGAUAUACUGGUUAGAGUCUAUGAUUUAGCUAAAUCCAUUGUAAUUUAAGCAUUGACAUGUUCAAAAGCUUACUGAAAAUUAGCCCUUUUCUUUCUGUUGAUCUCUGUCUAUAUAGGAUAUCUACUAGAACUUUGCCUAAAGAACACUUUUUUUUAACAUUUGAGAGUUGAUAUUUGAACAUAAUAUUAUGAAGACAGAAAUAGAGUGGCCUACAGGUAAUGUUUGUUAGGGAUUAAGAAGACUAUCACGUGAAAAAUAACCUCCAAGAAGGAUCAAAUAAUGGCUAUCUAAUCAAUUAUCUGCAAUCAGAUCCGUGCGGCCAAGGAGAUUUCAAAUCCUGCCACCUGGAACUGACCUGUGUUAAAUAUAUGCUUAAGAAAAAAGAGGUCUAUGAGAAUAAUUAUGCUUUUACAGCUCGCAUGUAUAUAUUUCAUGUUUGUUUAUUUUAUUCUUUAGUAUUUUAUAUUGAGGAACGACCUUCUAGACGAAAGGGACCGUUGUAGGCUUGGAAACUUCUCAUCUGCAAAUUUAAGUUUUUGGACCUUAGGACAUAUAGAGCAGCAACAGGGGAAAAAAUGUAAUGACGAGGGGAGGAAAAGAAAAUUAAAGACCAAGAAGAGUCAUCUCCGUGCAAAUCCAAGGAUUUAACAACAGCUCAGGCUGAGACCAGUCAGGAAGCAAGGUUCAUAAGGACUCCCUCCCUGACACCGAGGGGAGACAGAGAGAGAGAGAGAGCACAUGACAGGAUGACAGGACGGGGAGAGCAGACCAAGCACGGGAGGAGAAAUUGGACUACACCAGCUACUGGCAUUGUUUUUAGGCAUCCAGACUCUAGAUAUUGCUUUUGUCUUCAUUCACAGGAUAAUGCUUCUGCUCACAUUAACUGCAGAGGAAUUUGGGUUGAAAUCUUGAAAGUAAUAAAGUUUUACUCCAAUUCCUAUUAAGAAUAAAAUAAUAAAAAUGUCCAGUUUAACCUAUCAGAGGAUCAUGAAGAAGUCAGUAAAGAUGCCGUGUGACCCGGCAGUGUGGCCUGGAUAACUUCCAGUGACUUUAGGACCAGAACACACAACACAGUUCAGCAGGGAUGCUGGGCCAGAUUUUCCCUUGCUCCACACAGGCCUGUGCCCAGACAGAGAGGACAAUCACCACAGGCAGCUGGCACGCCAUGCACAGUGUUGUAUAACAUUCUGGAAAGCCUUGGGGGAUACUAGAGUACCCUGACCUCUGCCAGCUGGCCUGCCCCAAGGGAUCAGCCAGCUCAAAGGGGGCCGCAGAGCUGUGGGCAUUGCCUCCAGUUUGGGAAAAUGCAAAGCAAUCCCGGGUCUGGGCCCCUGAGGCUGCCUGAACGUUCACAAGGACAAGCGCUGAUUCUCUGCCCUGGCCAAGGCCCCUGCUAAGGCCUGAGAUGAGGGGGUCCUGAGGCAUGUAUGAGGUUCUAGUCUCCCAGGGAGACUAAACUCUUACAACCUGCCACGUCCUGGGUAGUAUGUCCUUUGUAAUGGUCUUAUAAUUCAAUCUUUACAACACUCCUGCAGGGUAUCCCUGUUUUACAGUUGCGAAAACUCAGCUCUGGAGAGGGUAAAUCACUUGUCCAGAGUAGUAAGAGUAUCCGAACUUGAGCAGAGGCAGCCUGACACCAAGAUGCACAUACUCGGACUGCAGUCAAAGCCACACAGCCCCCCUGAAACUAAAGUGCAUGAACCCACUGCCAUCCAGGAGGGAUCCCCCUCUCAGGGGGGCACCCACAGCAGCCCCUCCCAACGUGCACAAUUUCCCCACCACUGGGAGCCACAGCCGCUAGAAGUGCUGAAACUGUCUCUCUUUGGGGCAUACAAUGUUCUAAUGACUAAGGAUAGCUAAUUUCUUAAUCAAAAGAAAAACACACAUAGAGGCUUAGUAUAUGCUAGACAUUGUCAGAUUUAGGGUCAACUUCUCAGGUUGUUCCCUCCCCCUUUUUCCAGACAAGAGAAGAGGAACAAUUCACAACAAGGAACAGAGACGUAGAGGGCAGAGAGCAAGAGAAGUGGGCACACAGGGGUCAUGUGCAAGAGCACCGGCCCGGAGCUCAACGGGCCUGGCUGUAGGUGACCUGUUGAUCUGGGACAAGUAUUUUCUCAUUCAUCAAAUAAGAAUAAAUUUAGUACCUACUAGUUUAAAGAAUCAAAUGGCAUGAUGCUAAGUCUUGGUACACAAUAAAUGAUUAAUAUACAUUAGCUAUUACUUUUCAUUUUUUGUUAAUUUACAGAGGGUAGAGAGGAAAAUAUAAAGGCAAUAAAAUUAUGGAGAAAGCCACAAAAUAAUAAGCCAGAGGAAAGCUACAAUCUAAGAAAAGAGAAAGUGAGGAAAGAAAAGGCAAAAAUGACACCAGGAAGACAGUAAAAGAAAACAGCAGCUAUAUAUAAUAAUUGGGAGAGGAAGCCACAAUCAAGCUAGGAAAAAAAAUAGAAAUAAAUGAACUGAUUCAGGAAUGCAAUUGUGGAAUGAACUGAAAAUGAAAUUGGAGUCUGCAGCCCAGCCACCUGGCCUCGUGCACGAAGCUGCAUAGAAUGUGCAGGUGAGGGAGCUGGCAGGGGCCCUGCCGGUUAAGCCGUCCAGUCUGUGACAAAAACAAACUACAGACAAAGCGGAAGGAAAAAAGUAAGAUGGGGCAUUAAACUACAUCAACUUGAAGUGAAUGGGAAAGGUAAAACCACAAUAAGAAACAAAACAGCAAAAAAAAACAAAAAAGCAAAGAACAAAAAGUGAAUUCUCCAGCAAAUGGCCCAGGAAGAAAGGAGGGAAGCAAACGAGCGGGCCAGACUCCAGGAAGGAGGACCACCAAGGCAGAGUGGCCCUGGGGGGGAAACAGAGAGGGGCCUGGAGAGCAAUAAGGAAGAAGCGGGCGGAAAAGACACUCUGGUCUGGAACAAUGCAGGUUUUGAGUCCAACUCGGCCCCAAAGGCACACUGUGACUUAAGAAGGUUUACUUGACCUCUCUGAGCCCCAAGCUCCUCCUGCAAUUUGAACACAGGGGACAAGGUUUGAUGAUCGAAGGGCCCUGCUGGGCCCCCUGGAACUCUCUACAAAGGUAACUGCCCCUGAGUCCGGGCCCGGCCUCUUUCCCCUACAGCUGCUGACAUGCGGGGCUCCACUCAGGGGGAGAAAUAACCCCAGGAAGUAAGGAGAAAAGAAAGACCAGUGAUGUAGGAGCAAUAUAAAGCACGAUCAGAAAUGAAGGAACCAAAGGAUAGGCCCACAGGGAAAAAAAGACAUUCAAAUGAAACAAAACAAUUGGUAAAACCCACUAAGCAGCAGGCACGGCACCAAUUAAAGUUUUCCUUUGUUAUUAUUACAUAUUUUAUCUUUAUGCCCUUGUAAAUGGCAUUUAGUAUCAAGUCUCAAUUAAAAUUUUAAAACAAUAAAAUGGCAUCUAAGUGGGUGAGCAGGAGAAAGUAUGAGACAAUACAUUGGGGAAGGAAAAAUCUAGCUACGUGCCUCAAAUGACAGAAAACUAAAACAAAAAAAUUUCAUCAGAAAAGACAUCUAAGAUCCUGUGAAGAAGGGACUUUCAAAACAAAAAUCAACCAACCACAAAGGCCUAAAACAGAAAAGACCCGGCAAGAAGGAGAGAGCAGUGAGGUUUUGCAGCUGGGCUCCCUGCACACUGGCGUGUGGCGAACGGCUCCUGCCGUGGCUAUCCAUCCCCGGCCCCGGGUGCCAGGCUGUGAUGGUCCACAGCGUGCAAUGUCAUUCCUAUGUGACAGUAAAAUAAAUACUAUCACGACUUAGCUUCUUAGAUGAGCCGUGACAUGGCAAAAUUUGAGGAGUACCGCAAGACUGACCACAGGAAGAAGAGAACUCGGAAGACCCACCUACGAAAGCAAAACUAAGGGAAAUUCAUAACAGAAUAAUCAAAGAAAGAUAACAACAGCUGGUUAUGCCCAGAUAUAUACAGGAGGAAGAAGCAAAUCUUCCUAUCACAAUGUACAGCUGAAAAUACAGGAUGAAAUAUUUAUUAUUUGAGCCGGAGGGAAUCUUAACGGUUAAGACAGGACUUGAUGGACGGGUUUGCAGUUCUGUGUGUUGGGGUGUGUCCUCGUGCUGGCGCAGGCUCCUGGCUUGUGGGCCAACACCAGGUCACAUGUGCAUUUACAGCCUCACGGGAGUAGACUACAGCUGGUAGAGUGUAAACAUGUAAUUUGUGUUUGUUGAAUGAAUGAGAGAAUUAGCGCAUUUCGUUCAAACAUUCGUGUUACAAAUGUCCAGAGAGGCAGAGAGUAGCUCCCAGGUGUCCUGGCUACCGGUUUAGAACUCGUUAGGCUCCUCUGCCAUCCUUCCUUUGCUCCGGGCUCCUACUGAGGGACACGCAGAGCAGCCCACAGGGAGCCUGGGGUGGCCCAGGAGCCAGGAGCCAGUCCACGGGUCCUGGCUCUCUCACUGCCCGGGGACCUCAGCAAAACCGUUUGUUUCUAAGUCCCAGUAUUCUCUCUGAAAUGUUGUGGUUGGAUGAAAUCAUUUACGGGACUUCUUAGCAGAAGGGAGCACGUAAAACCCUAUCCUACCUCAAGGAAAAUCUCCGGGAUAAGUCUAGUUUUCAAAGGAAAUCUUGAACUGAAACCAGCUUCCAAGACUUCUCACCCGACCGCCCGUAUGAGCCUCAGUUGAUGAAUGAGUGUGUACAGUGUAUUUUUUUGAUGUAUCUGAACAGCGUUAAAAUUUUUUUCACACAAGGAAAAAAAUUACACUCUUUUGUUUAUCUGGCUUUUCUUUAGAAAACGGCAGAGAACUUUCAAGAAGGUGAGUUUUGAAGGAUUUUAGUUAGUAAUCUGAGUUAGGAUAAUUAGAUUUUUGCCUGUACACAAAAAACUAAUCAUUAGUUUCUGACUAGUCUUCUUAAAUCGCGAAGCCAGGUUUUGUCUUUCUGUGCCCUUUAGGGCUGUAGACAAAAAUAAAGGCUAUACUCUCAAAAAGGGAACAACUUUCAAAACAAUCACUGUUCAAAUCUCGAAUACUAAAAACUCUGAUUUAUGUUUGUGUCUGACGGAAGCAGCUCCAGACCUAAUCUCUCCAGACUCAGCAGACAGGAGGAAGGCCCGAGGCAGCUGCUGAGAGGGCACCGUGCCCCGGCCCGCGGGCUGCCCGCCCUCCCCUCCCCGGGCUGCUGCGCCUCCACAGCUCACGCAAAGGCCUCGCGGGAUUAGCUGCUGCGAAACAGUCUCAGGUAAACAGACCACCUGGCCAGAAGAUUACAAGGCAUUCGUCUAGAGGCUACUCUUUUCCUUCUGCAAAACGAAUUCUCUAAUUCUGAGUCGUUUCUGCAUGCGUACUGAAUUUUUCUUUGUUUUCUACAUCAGACAAAAGAUGCACUAUUCAUUCUCAGUCUUCCUAAUCCCCUCUUUCUUUGUGAUCCUCACACAGCGCCUGGUGCACACUCUUGGAGAGGAAGGAAUCAAGCCGUCUACUUCUAGAUUGCAAGUACAAUGAGAUGAACUCAGUGAUUGCCUCCCUGAUCUCAGCUCUUGAGAAUUAAUGUGUGUGACUGUCUCCACUGCUAGAAAUAAGUGCCACAAAGGCAGGAGUUUGUUUACUCACAUGUUCUGACGGCCUGACAUGAAGCAGGUGCUCUGUAAUAUGUGUUAAAGAAAUAAAUGAAUUACAUGUUGAAGAAAUGGGUCUUGACGCUCUGUGGAGAGAAGACUUCUAUAGAAGGGAGAGGGGAAGCAGGAAGACCAGUUAGGAGCCUGGCCUUGCAUUGAGGCUCGCUCAGAGAGUCCAUUUGCAGAAUCAAACGAAAAUCUAGCUCUUUCAUGCAAACCUUCCUGAAGCAGCAAGGCUGUGUUUGGACAUGAGAGCGAAGGCUCCUGUAAUGGAAGCCCUGAGGGUGAUUUCUCUCUACCCCGAGCUUGGCAAGGUCCUCUCCACCACGGAGCGAUGACAUGGAGGAUCAAACAGCUCUCUCCAAGCCAGGCCCCAUCAGACUUGCCUUUUCUAAAUAUAGUGCACUUCAGUAAACACCGUGUGAAUCUGCACUUCGCCUGCUGGGAAAUGCAUUGUCACCUCCAUCACAAUUUUGUGCACGUGUGAAUUGUGAACAAAGCUAGAAGACUUACCAUCCUUAUUGGCUAAAGUGAAGCGAAGGAAGGUGCACGAAUCUCAGCCUUUCCCAAACACAGACUGGAAAGAAAACACCUCUUGGUGUGUGGGUGCACGCUACUGAGGGGCUCGCCAUUGUGAAGACUCCUCCAAGUUCCUCCGCAGUCCAUGCCCUGAGCCCUUGGGUUGGGCACCAUGGCAGGCCGUCCCUAGUGGGGCUGGUUUCUACGUUCCAGCAUCGCGCUACAUUGGUGGAGGUUCUGCCUCGGUCUGUUCUGAUGCCAAGUGCUUUGUACAACCUCCUUGUGUCCUUCCCCAGCUGCCUGGGAGCCCACUGUGAUCUGCACUCCUCUCCUUUCAGCACUGUGUGCAGCAAGGACUCGUUCACCUUGCGUUAGGUCCUGAAAGGGACCCUUAGUAAACUGGCCUUACCCUUAGCUCUUCUCUAUACUAGGGCUUACGUACCUCCCAUAACAUUUCUCAGGAAGCUGUGUGGAUAGAUUAUCUCUGGAAAUUUUCAUUUGCACAACGAUAGGGAACAGUAUGGGAGCAUUGUGCAACUUGAAGAGGCUUUAAACACGUUGAAGUCUAUGUCAGUCACAUCUUCUGGAGUUGUGCAGUGUACAGCCUGUCCAGCUAUACCUGGCAGCCCUGAUAGGAAAACUAGAAGCGCUGGAAUAAUUUCUGAAGUUGAAUCUGAAGCUUGAUCAUGUUUGAAAUCCUCACUCUCUUUCAUACCCCUGAAAAUUGUUUGACCACUUUAAUCUAGCUUUCUAGCCUGCAUUGGAAAGUGUUCUGUCUAACCACAGGCAUGCUUAAUGCCUUGCGAUCUAUAUCCUCCCCUCUAUCCAAAUUGUCACUGCCUUCAGGUCUCUGUCGCCUUAACCCUGAAUUACUGGGGCCACCUCCUAUCUGGCCCCCCUGCUUUCAGUCCCACCUCCCACCACCAUUCUCUAGCGUUGACAGUGUGACCUAUCUAACUCAUAAAUCUGGUCAUGUUGUGAUCUUGCUCGUAAUCCUUUAAUACCUUUCCAUUGCUUUCAGGAUAAAAUCCAGACUCCUUCGCAUGGAGACAGGACCCUUCACGAUUCUGGCCCCUGCUCUCACCUUCUGCUUUUGGAACACUCACUGGCCCAAGUCAGGUCAACGCCUUUGGAUUUGAUACUCGCUGUACCUAGGAUGCCCUUCCACUCCCCUGUCCCUUCUCCUGACCAAGCCCAGCUCAGAUGUUACCUCCCCUGGGAGCAAUUUGAACACAUGCUAAAAAGCAUGGGACCAUGCAUUUAGCAAUGAAAAUAUCUCUUCAGCCCACAAAGAAUUGAAAAAUAACAGUCUUGAAGUAAGGUCAGAAAGAAAGUCAUGCGUGGACCACCACACACUGAUUCACAGAGUUAGAUGCCAGCUGCAAGACGUUCGGAGAGCUCUACAGAGAGUAAGGGAUGUGCUGAGCCUGUCCCACUACAUUCCUUCCUGCCUCCAGCUGCCGCACAGAGAGAAUCAGAUGGCAGAAACGCCCCAUGAGCGGCAGCCUCAAGUUGCACGGGAAAUAAAAGUCAGAAAAUGUAGCAGAAAAAGUUUAAGCUCAGGAACCAGAAAAACUGAGUUCUGGUCACGUCUUUAGAUCUGAGUUUCUCGUUUUACUGUGAAAGAAUUGGACUCUGUCAGGGGUUUUUAUGUCGCGCUUCACACAGCCCUGGGUGUUCUGGAUGGUUUUCAGGGGUCACCUCAGGGGAAUAGAAUGGACACAGAGGGGUGAAGGCAACUCCCCAAGAACGCCUCCACUCUUGUUGGAUAUUCUGUUUUUCUGUGUAGGAUUUCAUCUGAAGAAAGGGUUAUGCUGCUUAAAAUGCAUUGAAAAACCCUAAAAGAGACUAAUAAACAACAGACAUUCCCCGAACUGACCUACGCUUCACUGUCUCUGGAGUUCAGUAAGGACCUGUUGACUAACCCACCCAGUGGCAAACUGGACCCUGCUAUGCUCUUUGCCAGUCACAUCUCCUGCUGCUCCCUCUGGCGGGGAUGCUCACUGUGCAAGGUUCAGCUGGACUUUGUCCCCAAACCAGUCAAUGCCAGUUGUACUAGUUGUUUUUUAUUAUAUCCUUUUUAUUACGUAUUAUAUAGGCCAGUGACAUGAGAGCCGUUUUUUCUGUGAAUAAUAAGGAGAAUGCUUGGAAAGACUUAGUAAAAACAAGUCACUAAAGAUAUUGCAGUGGAAUUAUGUAUGGGCAAGUUAACUCUUUGGGGAAAGAUUAUAAAAAUCUGCAUGGAAUCUAUUCUCAGAUCUUCCACAAGAUUCUUGGAGUUCUCAUUCCACUUUACAGAAACCCAGCCUGGAAAUUGUAUGUGGUGCAUCAGAAAGUGGGGUUCACCCAAAAGAAGCAAGAAUGCAACUCUAAACAGUAUGUGCACACUCAGAUCAAGCCUUGACCCUACAUGAGACUUUGGAAAAUAAACAGAAAUCUAUGUUUUAAGAUAAAACAAAGUAUUUAAAUACAUAUACAUAUCAUUUUUAUGAUUCCCCACUUCGGCUUUUUCAAUUAACUGCUAGUCCAACCAUCUGUGUGUGUGUGUGUGUGUGUGUGUGUGUGUGUAUCUAAAGAACCAGACCAGAAAACAUUCUGCAAACUCAAACAAACAAACCCAUAGCAACAGCCCAAGAUCUGAGGUUAUAUUGGCAUUUUUCUUCCAAAGAGAGAAGAGACUUCUAUUGAAGUGGACCCUGACUGGCCUUACAUUUGUGCAGCUGUCAGGCCCAAUGGCCACUAUAACACAGACAACACAGUCGUUUCCAACUACAACAGGUGUCCUUGAUUUUCAGUCUUUCUUAAAUUUCAGCAGAGACUGCAGGAUGAUCAUGGAAAAAGAAGUUGGACGAGAAGAAGAAAGAUAGUCGGGGGUGCAGAGUGAAUGGUGUGACCUGGAAGGCAUUCUCUCUAACUGGUCAGUACGGUGUCUUGCCAGAGAGCUCUGCUUGGCGAGCCCAACGCUUCGCAGAUUACUGAUUCUGCUUUCAACUGAGAUCAGUCACUGAAGGAUUUGUCUCUUUCUUGUUGGACAGUGACAGGACACCAACCACACAAAGCCACCUCCACCCAGUGAUAGUUCUAACUGUUUACAGCAAAAGUCAGCAUUGCCAGGAGUCAAUAGAAAUGUGCCCACUAGGUAGGCAUUGACCUAAAAAGUAAACUACAUUCAUGCACGGAAGAUGCACUACAUUCUUUGGUGGAAGGUAUAGCCAUUCUGAAAUCUGAGUGUGGAUCCCUGGUGUGUAAAGCAGUUUUGUGAAAGACUAAUAAUUUAUUUUAAAGGAGUUUCUAUGACUGUGAUUAAAGUACAAGCUUUAGCAAACAAAGAGCUUAGUGCCUUAAAAUAUAAAUAAGGCAUGAGCCUCCUAAAUGGCGUCUUGUCACCUGUACAACUCUAGGCCAUUACUAAAGAUGUUUAGCUAGCUAGCACAUGUCUUACUUAUAGAGGGAGUAUGGGCGUAAUAGAAAAAAACAUUAAAAUAAUACAGAAGGAUACAACAUUUUUUAAAAACUGCUGACAAUCUGGGAGAUAUAAGAGAUACUCUGAGGCGGGGAGAAGGGCUGGCAUCUGAGGAUUAGCAAUUCCUUUUGAGUAGGAACGGGCCCGUGGGUGACGAGCCUUUCCAUCUUCUGUGAAAUUCAGGGCUAAGCACAGGCUCGGUGAGAAUCUGUUGAAUUUCCCAGAGAGCAGUCUGUAGAACAGAACCUGAGUAAUAUCAGGAAAUGUCCCCCCACAUGGUCAUUGCCCCUAACUGAUCUCAGCCAAUUUAGAGCACCUCAACUAAGGCGCUAAUUAAGUAGGAGCCAGAUAUUUCAAAGCUGCCUUUCUGGUGGAGUGGGAGUCAAGUUAUUAUGAGACCUCUUUAUUCCCUUGGUCAAUAUUUUUCCUUGCAUUCAGGACUGUCCUUACUUCUUUGAGGGGAAGCUGCAUGAGCUUAAUCAAGCCCCCCAGAUUAAAAGAGACAACUGGAGCACAGUUCUUAAUGGGAUAAAGAGUCAUGAUCCCCAGCUUCCAUCAACAGAGAGAGAGUCAUGGAGCUUCAUGAGAAGGGCAUUAGCUUUGGGUCAGACCAGAUGCUUGGAUUCAAAUCCAGGGUCUAAUUUUACAGACUAGCCGUGUGACCUAGGCAUGACUCAACCCUUCAAGCUUCUAUUAUUCAUGUAUAAGAUGAGGUAUAUUAAUCCCUUCAUUAUAGGGCUUAUUGGGAGGAGUAAAUAAGAUAAUGCACUUACUCAUGGACCGGGUCCUUAUGUGCCCUGUGUCAGACACUGUGCUGGUUUCCAGAGACUAGACACAUGCUAAGCACAUGGUAGGCAGUCAUUAAAGAUUUGUUGAGUUGACUUGAUCUCAUACAGUAAGUAAUAAGGAGACUCAGAAAUAAACAAAUAAAAGACUAGCUGAAAGCUUUUUGGAACUGUGCUAUGAGAUAGAUUAAGUAACUCUUUCCACAUAAGCUCCCUAGCUCUCCUUCCCCAGAAAUAGAACUAGAGAGAAGAAGCAGGGAGAAGAAAAAUAAGAUAUUUUUUGAGACUAAAAUAUAUUCAUAAAAAUAAUGUAUACAAUAUGUCCACUGCAGCAUGGUUAUUAAUGAAAAAUUCUGUUGUAAAGUGUCACAGCUUGAAUCCUGGACCCAUUUACUUCCAGGAUACAGACAUUCCAGGGCCGCAUUUCUCAACCUUGACACUAUUGACAUUUGGGGUUAGAUAAUGUUUUGUCAUGGGGAAUUGUCCUAUGCAUUUUAAUGUGUUUAGCAGAAUCCCUGGUUUCUGCCCACUUAGAUGCACCAAGUUGUAACAACCAAAAAUGUCUCCAGACGCUGCCAAAUGUCCCAUGGGGACAAGAUUGCUCCAGCUGACAAGCGCUGCUCUGGAGCAUAUUUGACCAAAGAAUUAAAGAAAAAAUAUAUCCCCAAGGAAGAGACUCAGCACACAGGCUUAGCCCAGUCUCUGCACCUCAGUUACUGGAACACCUCUGAGUGCAGAUGUUUCUGCCACCCCGAAUGGACCUCAGUCCAGCAGCAUGUUCGUGCCCAAAGGGGACAGAACUACAAAAACUGGAAAGAUCUGCUUUCACUGCAGUCUCUCAGAGACGUUGAGAAGUAUCCUGCCUCAUCUUCUCUCCUCCUUGCCAACUCCACUGUAGCCACCCUGGCCCCCUUGAUGUUCCUCAAACAUGCUGUAUUAAUCAUGUCUUCUUAUUCUGUGCUUUGAUACUUUGACAUCUUGGGGUUCACUGACCCUGGAGGGACUCCCAUCCCAGGACUACCAGUUCUGGAGACAGCAAACAACCUGCCUGUGAGUGCGCCUUUCCUGUGCAAAGCAACCAGUCCAGAGCCCACACCACCAGCCACUCCUCCAUGGGCUCUCAUACUCAGGGCCACUUAUCCCUGCCUUAUCACCCCAGGACAGGUACCAGACACUGGAGAGAGCCCUAUGCCCUAGAGCCCACUGAAGCUAUCCAAUCCUAAGCUGCGCCUCCAGCCUGCCCAUUCCUUCCCACAGAAACCACAGCAAAGACUCCUGCCCACAUUUCUCCCUUACUGCCUCUGCCUCCUGACUACACUGGUGCUUCCCCAUGUGCCCUUUCCUCUUGGAAUCUGCGAGUAUAACAAAUGAUCUUUUCAAUGGCAAUUGUCUCCUCACCUCUUGGCCCCUCCAUACCUGAAAAAUAAUGAAACCUACAUUUUAAAAAGAAGUGCUUGGUAUGCUGCCACCACAGACUUGCGCAUGUCGUCCCACCACGUGUUCACUCAGAGCCCCGGGGCUUCCUCCAACUGACACUGACCCUGAUAUCAGUUUCCCCACAUUAAACCCAGCAUAUAUGGGGGUAAGACCAA